rnacentral:rRNA from 1 species
UACGAAGGGUGCAAGCGUUACUCGGAAUUACUGGGCGUAAAGCGUGCGUAGGUGGUUUGUUAAGUCUGUUGUGAAAGCCCCGGGCUCAACCUGGGAAUGGCAAUGGAUACUGGCAAGCUAGAGUGCGGUAGAGGGUAGUGGAAUUCCUGGUGUAGCGGUGAAAUGCGCAGAUAUCAGGAAGAACACCUAUGGCGAAGGCAGCACUCUGGGACGGUACUGACGCUGAGACGCGAAAGCGUGGGGAGCGAACAGG